GUCAUUGGCUUGGGGGUUUUGUUACAAAUUUUGGAACUUCACAGUAUUUUUGUCGUUAUUGUACUAUUCAGAGAAAUGACUUUCACUCAAAUCCAGUCAAGGUUGGCCUUGCUAGAACUCCUACGUCUUACAACAACGCUGCCGAGGCUUGUGAACUGGUUGGUGGUAAUGUUCAAGGUGUGAAGCAUAAAUCUAUAUUCAAUCAACUGAGCUAUUAUCAUGUAUGUGGACCAGGUUUACCACCAUGCCUUGCGCACGACAUUUUUGAAGGUGUCGUGCAAUACGAUCUUCCAUUGUUUAUCAAGUAUUUUAUUACCAAAAAGUGGUUCAGUUUUGAUUACAUCAUAAAUGCUAUGGCAACCUUCCAAUACAGCAGAUUUGAUGGGCCAUCAAAACCGCCAAUUUUACGAAGAAAUAUGGAUAAGUUGGAUGGUAGCACAUCUCAAAAUUGGUGUUUUUUGAGACUUUUUCCACUUUAGAUUAUGAAAUACAUCAUCAAUCCGGAUGACCCUGUUUGGCAGCUUGUUCUUUUGUUGCGGCGAAUUGUUGAAUUCGGAUCUUAUUACGUUUUCAAUAUGCAAUACCCGAAGGAGGCAAAGAAAACGUACGAGUUUGUACAACGAUACUUCGCAGGAAUUGGAGACAAUGCCCCCCGCUCAAAAAAGAAGACUGAUGAAAAUAGACUACACCCAAAAGUUCAGGCCCUACUGGAAAAAUUCCAAUAAUUCAAUAUACCAUCAACAAUGAAAACUUCCACAAACUUUAUACAAAGAAACUUGCACUGCUUUGGACAGAUUACACUUUUUCACUGUUUAAAUUAUAUUUCAGAUGAUAAUGUGACUUAUCCAUUUGACAUAUGAAAAUUUGGAAAUUUCUCAUUUUAAGGUUUUAGCUGUUUUUAUGAAAUUUAGUUUUUUUUUCACUCAUUCUAUUCCUCAGUGUUUCUAUUUUAUGGUUUAUCACUGUUUUUUUUAUACAAUUUUUUUCUUCAGGGUUUAUUACUGUUUUCACCAUUUCUUUCUUCAUGGUUUAUCACUGUUGUACAAUUUCUUUCCGUUUCAUUCGCAUAGUUUCCAAUUUCAUUUUAUUUGUAAAUAAAUUCGGUUUCUUAUAAUA